rnacentral:rRNA from 1 species
UACGUAGGGUGCAAGCGUUAAUCGGAAUUACUGGGCGUAAAUCGUGCGCAGGCGGUUGUGCAAGACCGAUGUGAAAUCCCCGGGCUUAACCUGGGAAUGGCAUUGGUGACUGCACGGCUAGAGUGUGUCAGAGGGGGGUAGAAUUCCACGUGUAGCAGUGAAAUGCGUAGAGAUGUGGAGGAAUACCGAUGGCGAAGGCAGCCCCCUGGGAUAACACUGACGCUCAUGCACGAAAGCGUGGGGAGCAAACAGG